CUUUAGAAGUGACACCGUCGUUCCCCAGAGUGUUUCUGUUAAUCCCGCCCCACCGGGACCACUCGGCGGCAGCGGGUGUCAAACCUCCCCCUCUCCGUCGAGGACGCAGCCAUGCCGAGCUGUGACGCUCCGCAGCCGGGCUGCUGCUGCUGCUGGCGCCUCGCCUCGUCCGUCUUCAGCUCCUCGCGCUCAGGUUAGCUGCCAUGAGAUCCCCAUCGCGCUCCUGCUCACCGGCACCUGGCUGCUGGAAGACGCGCGUGAAGCGGGAAGCGGGACUAACCAGCCGCAGAUCAUGACUUCAUAGGUUUCUGGUACGGAAAACGGAUAACCGGCUCCGGGCAUCUCUAAUUGCGCUGACCGGUGCUGGGGGUCGAGAUCUCUGGACCCCGAACCCGUCACUCAAACAGGUUGUCGGGGUGUUCUUCACUCUGAAAGGGGUCUUCGGGGCACAGCCGAGGAUGCUACCCCCCAGAUGGUGACUUUGAAAGGGUUGGAUGGAGAGCUGGUCGAAUGUCAGCGGGAACUGUCGUGAUAACCGGAGGAAUCCUUGCUGGGGUGAUACUGCUGUGCAUCGUAGCAGUUCUCUGUUACUGUAGACUCCAGGUACCUGAGAGUUGCACACAAAUCUGACUCUCUCGCUCUUUAAAAACAAAGAAAAUAUUUAAAAUAGGGGAGCUAUUCUUAAGUU